UACGAAGGGGGCUAGCGUUGCUCGGAAUUACUGGGCGUAAAGGGCGCGUAGGCGGCACUGCUAGUCAGGCGUGAAAUUCCUGGGCUCAACCUGGGGACUGCGCUUGAUACGGCAGAGCUAGAGGAUGGAAGAGGCUCGCGGAAUUCCCAGUGUAGAGGUGAAAUUCGUAGAUAUUGGGAAGAACACCGGUGGCGAAGGCGGCGAGCUGGUCCAUUACUGACGCUGAGGCGCGACAGCGUGGGGAGCAAACAGG
rnacentral:rRNA from 1 species